rnacentral:rRNA from 1 species
GACAGAGGGUGCAAAGCGUUGUUCGGAAUUACUGGGCGUAAAGCGCGUGUAGGCGGCUAAGUAAGUCGGGCGUGAAAUCCCACGGCUCAACCGUGGAAGUGCACUCGAAACUGCAUAGCUAGAGUCCUGGAGAGGAAGGUGGAAUGCUUGGUGUAGAGGUGAAAUUCGUAGAUAUCAAGCGGAACACCGGUGGCGAAGGCGGCCUCUGG